rnacentral:lncRNA from 10 species
UUUUUUAUUUUUUAAAACCAGAACAUUUAUUGCAUGACUAAUUGUUGACAUUCUUAAGAUGAACUGGAUGCUGCAACAGCUGCCCUCUUGGGUUUAGGUGUUGUUCCUUCACGGAAUCCAUCCUUGGCACUCCAGUUAUACUUUCUCUUGCGCUUGGCAGAGUAGCCACAUUUGCCACAGGUCGACUUCUGAAGGUGGUAGGCCUCAGAGCCACAGCAGCGGCACAACGUGUGUGUCUUAUUGCGAUGCUUUCCAAACGAUGAUGCUCCCUUCGUCAUCUCGCUUCUGCGGCCGAGACCAGAAAGUGGCUUUUUGUUUGUACACAAAAAUUUUCCAGGCACGGUGGUGCACACCUAUGGUCCCAGGCCAAGAUGGGAAGCAGGGGCCAGACAUGCCUCGUUAUACCCUCCUCCCUUUUGGACUUACUGAUAGAACACACUCUUAAGUCUGGAGACAGCAAGAAGGCAGCCUUUGGAAAGCCAGGAGGAGGGCCCUCACCAGGAACCAAAUCAGUCAGCACCUUGAUCUUGGACUUCCCAGCCUUCAGACUAUGAAAAAUAAAUUUCUGUUUAAGCCACCUAGUCUGUAGUAUUUUAGUACAGCAGCCUGAACUGACUAAUACAGUAUUUGUGAGGGCUCUGAUUUUUUCUAAGUGUUGGCAAGGAUGUGGAGCAAUUGGAAUCCUCAGACGCUGCUGGUGGAGAUGGGGAAUCGUGUGCCUGCUAUGGAAAACAGCGCGGUGGCUCCUCAAAAGUUAAACAUUGAAUUGCCAUGUGACCUAGCAAUUGUGUUCCCAGGUAUAUACCCAAAAGAAUUGAAAAUAAGCAUUCAAACAAAUACUUGUACACAAAUGUUUACAGCAGUGCCAUUCACAAUGG